CUAAACGAUCGAGGACUCUGUUCAAAAAUCGAGGGGCGUAGCUGCGACGGAGACGGCAGCGGAAGCCAUCGCUGAGGGCUUUGUCGAGGAGGACAACCUCGGGGCCAUCAUCACCAGAUUCGAGCAGAAAUCCCUCAAGAUCGAGAGCUUGCUCAAGCAAUCGAAGCCGGUGGAAGCGUUGAAGACGGCAUUGGAAGGUUCGACCGUGAAGACCAGAGACGAGAGGUGCAAGUCAGCGAAUUGGAUAAUGAUGCAUCGAUCAAUAAUGGCCAUAAAGGAUGUGGACGCAAUGCUCUCAUAGUUGGAUCCCGAUUAUUAUGACAUACUCAUAAGACACCCACCUUAUAUUACAUUGUCAGAUACUUGAUUCAGUGAUCAAAUACAAUUGGAUGGGAAAAAAGCAUUGUUCACUCAGUAUAUCUCCAAAAUGUUGUCCAGAAUAUAAGAAUUAGCUAAUAGUAAAAGUUUGCUGGUACUUGUAUAGAGGAUUAGCUACUGGAGAUAGACCUACGUGCUUCCAGUGGCUAAAGAUUCACGAGAAAUUGACAGAGAAAGCUAGACUAGGAUGCAUACUUCUUCGCUCAUUAGCCGACACUGUUAAUACUGCGUAAGCUUCAUUAAUGCUGCAACCUGUAUAUGCAAUUAACAACAUCAAUAGGUUUGCUUUAUAUGAUUGCAGCAGUAUGUUAAGCUUCUUUUUGUGACAUCACCGCCUUUGCGUACUCAACUUCCCGGUGAGAAUUGUAAGCAAUUGUUGCAAAGAUUUCAGAUAGAGCAAACUUGGUCCCGAAGGUUCACUUGAAUCUUUUUUCCAGACACCUGUUUCUAUCUUCAUAAAGUAGUUUGACAGUGCUUGUGCUUAAUUUUGGCUGGGACCAAAUUGUAUUUGCCAUGGCCUUAUAUGCCAGCUCAUUACUAGAGCAUACUCAGCGCUCAUUACUGAGCGUACUCACAGCUGGACACCUACAGCGCCUAUUGAAGCAUGUCAACCUCUCCUUGUUGCGACGAAGAGCAAAGCAGCGACCGAUGGUUCAUAAAAAAUCUACAGUGGUCCUGUAUUCUCGUAUGAAUUUUGUAGAGAAUGUCAAUCGUUUUGGAAGGUUGGCAGCGAGGCUCUGCCAGAUGCCCCGCAAAAGUGAUCGUCUAUAUUCGGUGGAGUACAAUUUGAGUAAAACUUGGAAUGGUAUUAUUUUUUCUGAAUUAUGCACUCCAUGUUCUUUUGAUUUAUCAUAGAAAAGUGUCUCUCUAGCUUAUUAUCAAAUUUACACUUUAGAAAUUUAAAUCA